GUAGUCUCGCACAGAUGCAUAUCAAUAAGCGGAGGAAAAGAAACUAACAAGGAUUCCCCUAGUAACGGCGAGUGAAGCGGGAAGAGCUCAAAUUUGAAAUCUUAAAGGGUUUCCCUUUACGAAUUGUAGUUUAAAGAAGUGUUUUCUGUUGAGGUUUUGGUAAAAGUUCUUUGGAAUAGGACAUCAUAGAGGGUGAGAAUCCCGUAUUUGACCUUUACUUUCAACUUUGUGAUACAGCUUUCAAAGAGUCGGAUUGUUUGGGAAUGCAGUCCAAAAUGGGUGGUAAAUUUCAUCUAAAGCUAAAUAUUGGCGAGAGACCGAUAGCGAACAAGUACCGUGAGGGAAAGAUGAAAAGAACUUUGAGAAGAGAGUUAAACAGUACGUGAAAUUGUCAAAAGGGAAGCGUUUGACACCAGUGUUGUUUUUCUGAAAAUCAAUUAAAGAACUGUUUAUGCUAAGCUGUUUAGACUUUAUCAGCUAUCUGUUUAGUUUUGAGCUUUUCUUUAAUGCACUUUUCAGUUAACAAGUCAACAUCAAUUUCUUUUGCUGUAAAAAAGCUUGAGGAAGGUGGCUUGAGAUUCGUCUUAAGUGUUUAUAGCCUCUUGCCUAUGCAGUCGGAGAGAUUGAGGUCUGCAGCGUAGAUCCUUCGGGGCUAAAUGCAUUUGUGCUAAGUUAUAGCAUUUUAUAGACAACUUGUUGACUAUGAUUUGUCUUGUAGCUUACUCGCUUAUGUUAUUUUACCUACGCUUAGGAUGUUGAAGACUCUACAGAGAUA
rnacentral:rRNA from 1 species